UUAGGUUGUGGUCCCUGUCCGCCCCUGAUACCAGAUGAUUAGGUUGUGUUCCCAGUCCGCCCCGCAUACCAGAUCAUUAGGAUGUGGUCCCUGUCCGCCCCUGAUACCAGAUGAUUAGGUUGUGGUCCCGGUCCACCCCUGAUACCAGGUGAUUAGAUUGUGGUCCCUGUCCACCCCUGAUACCAGAUGAUUAGGUUGUGGUCCCUGUCCACCCCUGAUACCAGAUGAUUAGGUUGUGUUCCCAGUCCGCCCCUGUUACAAGAUGAUUAGGUUGUGGUCCCUGUCCACCCCUGAUACCAGAUGAUUAGGUUGUGUUCCCAGUCCGCCCCUGAUACCAGAUGAUUAGGUUGUGUUCCCAGUCCG
ensembl:lncRNA